rnacentral:rRNA from 1 species
AGAGUUUGAUCAUGGCUCAGAUUGAACGCUGGCGGCAGGCCUAACACGUGCAAGUCGAACGGUAACAGGAAACAGCUUGCUGUUUCGCUGACGAGUGGCGGACGGGUGAGUAAUGUCUGGGAAACUGCCUGAUGGAGGGGGAUAACUACUGGAAACGGUAGCUAAUACCGCAUAACGUCGCAAGACCAAAGAGGGGGACCUUCGGGCCUCUUGCCAUCAGAUGUGCCCAGAUGGGAUUAGUUAGUAGGUGGGGUAACGGCUCACCUAGGCGACGAUCCCUAGCUGGUCUGAGAGGAUGACCAGCCACACUGGAACUGAGACACGGUCCAGACUCCUACGGGAGGCAGCAGUGGGGAAUAUUGCACAAUGGGCGCAAGCCUGAUGCAGCCAUGCCGCGUGUAUGAAGAAGGCCUUCGGGUUGUAAAGUACUUUCAGCGGGGAGGAAGGGAGUAAAGUUAAUACCUUUGCUCAUUGACGUUACCCGCAGAAGAAGUACCGGCUAACUCCGUGCCAGCAGCCGCGGUAAUACGGAGGGUGCAAGCGUUAAUCGGAAUUACUGGGCGUAAAGCGCACGCAGGCGGUUUGUUAAGUCAGAUGUGAAAUCCCCGGGCUCAACCUGGGAACUGCAUCUGAUACUGGCAAGCUUGAGUCUCGUAGAGGGGGGUAGAAUUCCAGGUGUAGCGGUGAAAUGCGUAGAGAUCUGGAGGAAUACCGGUGGCGAAGGCGGCCCCCUGGACGAAGACUGACGCUCAGGUGCGAAAGCGUGGGGAGCAAACAGGAUUAGAUACCCUGGUAGUCCACGCCGUAAACGAUGUCGACUUGGAGGUUGUGCCCUUGAGGCGUGGCUUCCGGAGCUAACGCGUUAAGUCGACCGCCUGGGGAGUAUGGCCGCAAGGUUAAAACUCAAAUGAAUUGACGGGGGCCCGCACAAGCGGUGGAGCAUGUGGUUUAAUUCGAUGCAACGCGAAGAACCUUACCUGGUCUUGACAUCCACGGAAGUUUUCAGAGAUGAGAAUGUGCCUUCGAGAACCGUGAGACAGGUGCUGCAUGGCUGUCGUCAGCUCGUGUUGUGAAAUGUUGGGUUAAGUCCCGCAACGAGCGCAACCCUUAUCCUUUGUUGCCAGCGGUCCGGCCGGGAACUCAAAGGAGACUGCCAGUGAUAAACUGGAGGAAGGUGGGGAUGACGUCAAGUCAUCAUGGCCCUUACGACCAGGGCUACACACGUGCUACAAUGGCGCAUACAAAGAGAAGCGACCUCGCGAGAGCAAGCGGACCUCAUAAAGUGCGUCGUAGUCCGGAUUGGAGUCUGCAACUCGACUCCAUGAAGUCGGAAUCGCUAGUAAUCGUGGAUCAGAAUGCCACGGUGAAUACGUUCCCGGGCCUUGUACACACCGCCCGUCACACCAUGGGAGUGGGUUGCAAAAGAAGUAGGUAGCUUAACCUUCGGGAGGGCGCUUACCACUUUGUGAUUCAUGACUGGGGUGAAGUCGAAACAAGGUAACCGUAGGGGGAACCUGCGGUUG